AUUGAACGCUGGCGGCAUGCUUUACACAUGCAAGUCGAACGGUAACAGGGAGCUUGCUCCGCUAACGAGUGGCGAACGGGUGAGUAAUGCGUCGGAACGUGCCGAGUAGUGGGGGAUAACGCAUCGAAAGGUGUGCUAAUACCGCAUACGUACUGAGGUAGAAAGUGGGGGACCUUCGGGCCUCACGCUAUUCGAGCGGCCGACGUCUGAUUAGCUAGUUGGUGAGGUAAAGGCUCACCAAGGCGACGAUCAGUAGCGGGUCUGAGAGGAUGAUCCGCCACACUGGGGCUGGGACACGGCCCAGACUCCUACGGGAGGCAGCAGUGGGGAAUUUUGGACAAUGGGCGCAAGCCUGAUCCAGCCAUGCCGCGUGUCUGAAGAAGGCCUUCGGGUUGUAAAGGACUUUUGUCCGGGAGCAAAUGCUGGUGGCUAACAUCCACCGGAGCUGAGAGUACCGGAAGAAUAAGCACCGGCUAACUACGUGCCAGCAGCCGCAGUAAGAC
rnacentral:rRNA from 1 species